rnacentral:lncRNA from 1 species
CUUGGAGUUAUAUAAUUUCUCCCGCAAUUAGACAUUUUAAAGCAUUGCUCACUUCUCUUGAAGUUAUCAUUUCUCCCCAUUUGACAUUAUUAAAAAGCAAACUAUGGGGAUAGGCAAAAGUUGGGGUAAUGGGGAUAGUAAGUAUAUAGGGAUUAAAGUAAUAAGUUGUUUUCUGUUUAUAAUAAUCUGAUUUUUCAUAUUAUAAUCGAUUAAGGAUAAGCUAUAAUCGAUUACUGAGCAAAUAAUUGAAUUCUUGAAAAGUUUAGCCCAGGUAAUCAAUUAAAUAAAUCUGAGCACUUGAUGAUAAUCGAUUAUGAGACUUACAGAAGCUAGGGUUCUUCAAUAAUCGAUUAUCAUUUGGCUUAAUCGAUUAUAAUGCAGAAAACAACAAAAACAGCAAGUUCAAUCAGCAGUUUUCUUAGGUAAUAAACACUUAAUUCAGGCAUGUGUCUCAACACUAAUCAACAUAAUAGCAACAUACACAGCCAGGCAGAACAACAAUCACAGGAUUAUCGCAUUCAAAGCAUCAAAUAAGCAAAUCAAAGUGGUGCAUCAAAAUCAACUUAGGCAAAUCAUACACGUUUAAUAGCAACACAAAUAGUCAUUCAAGAACAACAAUUAAACGCAUCAAAAUAGUGCACCAAAUAGUCUACUACAGUCAUCCAAGAGUUAAAGUUCAAAUUCAAUGAAAUUAAAACAAACAACUAAAUCCUAGACAUGACUCUAGAGAGGACUCCUAGGACUCAGGUGGAGGGGUACGACUCGAGUUUCUUAUGUUUCCUAGGUAAGUCUCCAAGUGAGUGAAGCCUUGCUCGUCUCUUUCUUCGAGACGUCCCAUCCUCUGAUUCUGAUCAUCCAUGAAUGUCUUAAGCUGGCUUGACUGAUCCAUCAUGAAAUGUUGAAGUUGGCUUGAUUGUAUAUCCAACAUCCCUUGCAUCCGAUUCACCAAAUCUUCCAUAAAAGGGAGGGACAGUUUGAUAUGCUUCUUGGUUUUCUGCAGCCGCUUCUUCUUCUUCUUCAGGAUGCUCUUGCUGCUGACCCAAUAUAGUGUCCUCAUGCCAUUGCCAAACACCAUCUUGUCUUGUAAUCCUCAUCUUGUUCAAAGUUACUUGGUCGAUCUUGUCAGCUUGGUCACGCACAGAAAGCUUGACCUCAUUAGAUACAUCGACACUAGCAAGUUCGAUCAUUUUGGA